GAUGAACGCUGGCGGCGUGCUUAACACAUGCAAGUCGAACGAAGCGACUAUGAUUGAGAUUUCGGUUGAUUGAUUAGUUGACUUAGUGGCGGACGGGUGAGUAACGCGUGGGUAACCUGCCUCGUACAGGGGGAUAACAGUUAGAAAUGACUGCUAAUACCGCAUAACCCGCUAGGGUCGCAUGACCCGGACGGAAAAGAUUUAUCGGUACGAGAUGGACCCGCGUCUGAUUAGCUAGUUGGUGAGGUAACGGCCCACCAAGGCGACGAUCAGUAGCCGGCCUGAGAGGGUGAACGGCCACAUUGGGACUGAGACACGGCCCAAACUCCUACGGGAGGCAGCAGUGGGGAAUAUUGCACAAUGGGGGAAACCCUGAUGCAGCGACGCCGCGUGAGUGAAGAAGUAUUUCGGUAUGUAAAGCUCUAUCAGCAAGGAGAAAAUGACGGUACUUGACUAAGAAGCCCCGGCUAAACUACCGUAG
rnacentral:rRNA from 1 species